GCCCCUGAGUGCCUCCAGCCUCCUGACCUUGUGUACCGAGAGCGUGGGAUGACGUCGCCUCGCUGGACACCUUCAGUCACCCCAGAAGUUCAGGAGGUUCCUGGUGACAGCUCAUGGUGUGUGGACCCUAAAAUAACUGAGUGAGAGGUGAAUAUGCUAUUUCUAAAAAGUACAGCCUGUUCUGCUUUGGAUGCCAGGGGAUUAUGUCACUGUAUCUGUUCCCAUCACAAAGGGAUGCUUUUCUGGAGCGCCUACUGCCCUGCAUGGAUCCUGCAUACAUCAGGGCCAGGAUUACCAACAAUCCCAAGUGAGGGAUAUUUGCAAGCACAUAACCAAGAGAACAGGUAUUCCAGUGUAACAUGUUUGUGAUGUGGGAGGAGGCACUGGAAUCCUGAAACUCAAAGGACUCCCAGCCAACUGGGAACAGCCAAGAAAGGAGGUUCACUCCCAGGCAAGGACAGCAGCUCCUUUUCCCUCAAGCAUGUGAUACGUGCCAGCAGGGAGGGGAAAGUGGCCAAGCUCUUUUGCCAUUGUGCCAGGAGUAAGGGCAUGGUGUCCAUGCUCAGCUUCCCACAAAAGGGGAAGAACACAUCUAACUGGAGACCACCAACCACAGGCCUGGAAGGAACUU
rnacentral:lncRNA from 1 species